rnacentral:rRNA from 1 species
GACGAACGCUGGCGGCGUGCUUAACACAUGCAAGUCGAACGGAAAGGCCCCAGCUUGCUGGGGUACUCGAGUGGCGAACGGGUGAGUAACACGUGGGUAAUCUGCCCUGCACUCUGGUAUAAGCCUGGGAAACUGGGUCUAAUACUGGAUAUGACCACUCUCCUUAUGGGGUUUGGUGGAAAGUUUUUCGGUGUAGGAUGAGCCCGCGGCCUAUCAGCUUGUUGGUGGGGUGAUGGCUUACCAAGGCGACGACGGGUAGCCGGCCUGAGAGGGUGAUCGGCCAGAUUGGGACUGAGAUACGGCCCAGACUCCUACGGGAGGCAGCAGUGGGGAAUAUUGCACAAUGGGCGGAAGCCUGAUGCAGCGACGCCGCGUGAGGGAUGACGGCCUUCGGGUUGUAAACCUCUUUCAGCAGGGACGAAGCGUAAGUGACGGUACCUGCAGAAGAAGCACCGGCUAACUAUGUG